AUGAAGCACUACACAAGCCAGAAUGGGCGUGCUGCUGUUGACUUCGAUCUGAAGUUCACCUAUGUACUGGCUGGCUCGGAAGGGUCAACGCAUGAUGCUAUACUCAGUGACAACAUCAAUCGCCUUGAUGGCAAGUUCUACCUAGGAGAUGUUGGCUAUGCAUGUCGGCCAGGUGUUCUUCCACCCUUCAGGAAAACCAGGUACCAUCUGAACGAGUUCUCUAGUAGGUACCCUAGGACUCCACAAGAGUUGUUCAAUCUCAGACACUCCAGCCUUAGAGUAAUGGUUGAGAGGGCAUUUGGAGCUCUGAAGAACAGGUUCAAGAUCCUGGAUUAGAAGCCAUUCCACCCUUACCCUACCCAGGUUAAGCUUGUUCUUGCAUGUCGCAUUCUGCAUAACGAGAUCAUGCAAUGGUGUGUUAAUGAACUAGUGCGUGAGGAGGAAGAGGUGACACCUGACGAUCUUGACCUCAAUGGCCAUAGUGUUGAGGCAUUUGACAACAAAGCCUGGAAAAACAAAAGGCUGGAGUGGGCACACGUAAUGUGGGAUAACAAAGGUUAG
rnacentral:rRNA from 1 species